AAAAUGUAUUUAUUUAUUUAAAUAUAAAAUGGUUAUGUUGAAUUUUUAACAUUUAAAAAAUAAAUUACUAUAAAUAAAUUAUAUUUUUUAUUUUAUAUUUUAUUUUAUUUUAUUUGUUACUGUAAUUAUGCAGAGUUCUCUCUCUCUUUCUGUAUCUUUUUUGUUUUUUGCCCCAAAUAUUGUUUGAUUUAUAGCAGCAACAUAAUAGACAACUGCAUUAAUUACAAGAUCUGAUUUCUGUACUGUUUGUAUUCAAUUAAGACAAAACUGACUGUCUUUACAUUAGUACUUUGUCCAGGAUUGUGCACAUCCACGUGAUCAGUGAAGUGCAGCUUUUGUUUUCCUUACUGGCUCAUGCACUGGCAAAACCUGUCAGUAGCUUUAGUGCAUCAUCCAUCUCCCAGGUUUAGAAGAAUGGUUCACAUGAGUAUGUGAAUUCAUUUAUGUGUUUCUACAUUUCCAGUUGGUAAUGUAUUUUUCCUCACCCUGUAGGUCAUGUUUGAUGGAGAGGGAAUCUGCGAGUAUGGAUGAGGUGGGAAAUAACUAUUGCCUUCCCUUCACCUGCAGAGUAUCAGGUUCAACCCCGCUGCUGUCCGUAUGCAACACCUGUGAGCAGCACGACUCCGCAGGAAACAAGUUAUUUUACAGGAUUGUCUUUUCCAUUUGCCCCCCUCAUAGCAGCGGUGACAGAUUCUGCUCUUGGUGUGGGAUCUGCCAUCACACAUCAUCAGAUACGCGGUAUGGAUAGAUUGUCCAUGACGAAAGGCGGCAGGAAGGUAAACACCUGCUAGUCACUCCAACAUAACUGUGAGGCAUUUCUCUGGGGUCAACACUCUGUCUAGGUCAGAGUGACCAAAUAAUGACCUCUCACUGCCGUGACAUCUUGCACAUCUCUCUGGUGUUUUCUACCUCCAGACCAACAGCGGAUUUGUGAGAGGCUUCUGGACUUGCUGACUGUCAGAGAUCUCAAGGUACUCAAGGUUUUUUUUUUUUUGUUUUUUUUCUCAGGAACUGCUGAGAGAACAAAAUAAGAAGCGGAAGUUUGACAGCAGGGACUGACCCAUAACAGUUCAGAUGGAUAAAUUGUCCUUUGGCUUGUAUAGAAAAAAAAUAAGAACUCAAGUUUGAUAGUACUUCCUUUUUCAGUGCUGCAAUCAGCUCCUGAUGGAUGAAAGCAAGUCCCUUCAUAUUUUUCUCUUUCCAUGUUAUUUUUAAUACAUUUAUGGAAUAUAUAUUCUUUUAUGCCCCACAGAAGAAAAAAUAAAGUCAUACUACUUACUCA
ensembl:lncRNA